AGAGAAUCACUUGAACCUGGGAGGCGGAGGUUGCAGUGAGCUAAGAUUGCGCCACUGCACGCCAGCCUGGGUGACAAGA
rnacentral:snRNA from 1 species